rnacentral:rRNA from 1 species
AUCUUGCGCAAUGGGCGAAAGCCUGACGCAGCCAUGCCGCGUGAAUGAUGAAGGUNUUNNGAUUGNANAAUUCUUUCACCGGGNNNNNUAAUGACGGUAACCGGAGAAGAAGCCCCGGCUAACUUCGUGCCAGCAGCCGCGGUAAUACGAAGGGGGCUAGCGUUGCUCGGAAUUACUGGGCGUAAAGGGCGCGUAGGCGGAUCGUUAAGUCAGAGGUGAAAUCCCAGGGCUCAACCCUGGAACUGCCUUUGAUACUGGCGAUCUUGAGUAUGAGAGAGGUAUGUGGAACUCCGAGUGUAGAGGUGAAAUUCGUAGAUAUUCGGAAGAACACCAGUGGCGAAGGCGACAUACUGGCUCAUUACUGACGCUGAGGCGCGAAAGCGUGGGGAGCAAACAG